rnacentral:tRNA from 1 species
AGCAGGGUAGAGCAGUGGCCAGCUCGUCAGGCUCAUUACCUGGAGGCAUGGGUUCGAGUCCCAUCCCUGCAA